rfam:Picea glauca, whole genome shotgun sequence.
GGGUGUGAUCAUACCAGCGCUAAUGCGUCAGAUCCCAUCAGAACUCCGCAGUUAAGCGCACUUGGGCCAGAGUAGUACUUGGAUGGGUGACCUUUCGGGAAGUCCUAGUGUUGCACCCU